GGCCUUGUAGCUCAGUUGGUUAGAGCAGCUCACUCAUAAUGAGAAGGUCUCAGGUUCGAGUCCUGACUAGGCCA
rnacentral:tRNA from 5 species